rnacentral:ribozyme from 1 species
ACGGAAAAGGAGACAGAGAGACGUCAGACAAAGAGAAAAAGAGAAAAGGACAACCAAAAAGUCUUUUGUCUUUCUUUCACUUUUCUUCUCGUCCUCUUCUUCUUCUCCAGUUCUCGCUCUCUUUCUCGGUGGGCUUUGU